rnacentral:rRNA from 1 species
AACAAACGCUGGCGGCGUGCCUAAUACAUGCAAGUCGAACGGGGAAAGCUUUCGGGUGAGUACUAGUGGCGCACGGGUGAGUAACGCGUGGAUAAUCUGCCUUAGAGUGGGGGAUAACUAGUCGAAAGAUUAGCUAAUACCGCAUAAGACCACAAGAACUGCGGUUCAAGAGGUCAAAGGUUUUUCGCUCUAAGAUGAGUCCGCGUAAGAUUAGCUAGUUGGUGAGGUAACGGCUCACCAAGGCAACGAUCUUUAACUGGUCUGAGAGGAUGUUCAGUCACACUGGAACUGGGACACGGUCCAGACUCCUACGGGAGGCAGCAGUAGGGAAUAUUGCACAAUGGAGGAAACUCUGAUGCAGCGACGCCGCGUGAGUGAUGAAGGCCUUCGGGUCGUAAAGCUCUGUCGCAGGGGAAUAACACAAUGAAUGUACCCUGUAAGAAAGGAUCGGCUAACUUCGUGCCAGCAGCCGCGGUAAGAC